ensembl:lncRNA novel transcript, antisense to UBE2I
AAAGGAGCCGCGUCCCCGAUGUGAGGGAGCGUCUGUAAACUCCCCUUCGGGCUGCCCGCGUCCACCCGAGGACACGCCGGCAAGCAGCGGGGGAAAAAGGAAGCCGAGAUCUCCAAAGGCUCCCCGGAUGCCUGGCGGUCACCUCUCCAGCCACAGGUCCCGGAGGUUUCCUUGGGGUCAGGUCCUGGGGCCGGGGGUCAAAGACCACUGAGGCCUAAGGAUCCUCUGAAGCGUCGCAGGACGGUGACGCUCCCGCGAGUUCAGCGCCCUGUGAAACCCCUUGCAAUUGGCCAGUUCGGGGCGGUAGGCGGGGACACCUUCUCAUCCGCCCAAUGAGCUGACCCCGUACAAAAGGCCGAAUGCGAGCAUGACCGACGGGAGGAGAAGUGUGGAUGCUCCCUAAACCGGGGGCUGGCCCUGGGCCGGGGCGCGGGCGGGACGUGGGGGACCGCGAGCGGCGGGGGCGGGGCGAGCCCGUGGGGGAGGGGCGCUUCCGGUCCCCCCUCCCGCCCACGCAACAAGCAGGACCGGGUCGGGAGGCCCCCAGACCCGCGAGCGCGCGGGACAGUCCGUUCGCCAACGCGCGACCGUGCUGGCCCCCGGGCUCUCCCGGCCCCCCCGCCCGCAUUUCGCCGACGGCGGGGCCGCAGCCAAGGUCACGGUGUCCGGGUGCUUGGGGACCGCGGGGAGUGACCACAUUCAUUCAUUCCCUCCCUCACUCAUUCAUUCAUUCCCUCCCCUACUCCGUCAUUCCCUCCCUCACUCACUAAUUCCCUCCCUCCCUCACUAAUUCCCUCCCUCCCUCAUUCAUUCGAUCCCUCCAUCACUCAAUCAUUCCUUCCCUCUCUCACGCAUUCCCUCCCUCACUUACUCAUUCAUUGCCACCCUCACUCACUCAUUCCCUCCCUCACUUACUCAUUCAUUCCCACUCACUCAUUCCCUCCCUCACUCACUCAUUCCCUCCCUCACUCAUUCCCUCCCUCACUCACUCAUUCCCUCCCUCACUCAUUCCCUCCCUCACUCAUUCAUUCCCUCCCUCACUCACUCAUUCUCACUCUCACUCAUUCCCGCCCUCAUUCAUUCAUUCCCGCCCUCAUUCAUUCAUUCCCACCCUCAUUCAUUCCUUCCCUCCCUCACUCAUUCCCUCUCUCAUUCAUUCCCUCCCUCCCUCACUCACUCAUUCCCUCCCUCACUGAUUCCCUCCCUCACUGAUUCAUUCAUUCCCUCCAUCACUCAUUCAUUCCUUCCCUCACUCAUUCCCUCCCUCACUCAUUUCCUCUCUCAUUCAUUCAUUCCCUCCCUCCCUCACUCAUUCCCACUCUCACAAACUCAUUCCCUCCCUCACUUACUCAUUCCUCCCUCAUUCAUUCCCUCCCUCAUUCGUUCAUUCCCUCCCUCAUUCAUUCAUUCCCUCCCUCCCUCAUUCCCUCCCUCCCUCAUUCAUUCAUUCCCUCCCUCAUUCAUUCAUUCCCUCCCUCAUUCAUUCCCACCCUCCCUCAUUCAUUCCCUGCCUCCCUCACUCAUUCCCUCCCUCACUCAUUCAUUCCCUCCCUCCCUCACUGAUUCUCUCCCUUAUUCAUUCCAUCCCUCACUCAUUCCCUUCCUCCCUCAUUCACUUCCUCCCUCACUCAUUCAUUCACUCCCUCCCUCAUUCAUUCAUUCCCUCCCUCCCUCACUCAUUCCCUCCCUUACUCAUUUAUUCCAUCCCUCACUCAUUGCCUCCCUCCCUCAUUCCCUCCCUCUCUCCCUCAUUCAUUCAUUCCCUCCCUCAUUCAUUCCCUCCCUCACUCAUUCCCUCCCUCACUCAUUCAUUCCCUCCCUCACUCAUUCCCUUCCUCCCUCAUUCAUUCAUUCCCUCCCUCACUCAUGCAUUAAUUCCCUCCCUCACUCACUCAUUCCCUCCUUCACUCAUUCACUCCCUCCCUCCCUCACUCAUUCCCCCACCACCUCCCACAGGGUCCCCAGCGGGCAUUUCCCUGUCAGGCACCUGCAGCAGGAGGGGCAGCCACACACCCUGGGUCUGCCUGCCUGGGAGGCGCAGCCGUGGGGAUGUGGGUCCAGGGCAGCAGGGGCAGCCUCCCCCAGAAUCCAGUCCCUGGAAGCCAUGCACAGCCCUGUCCCACCAAGACCAGCGGGGGCCUGGCCUGGCUGCAACUCCCAGGCUCAGAGCCUCCGUGGCCUGUCUAGACACCUGCUGUCCUGGCCCCCAGCCUUGAGGUCCUGGGAAUCUGCUUUUUUUUUUUCCUUUUUUUUGUGAGAUGGAGUCUCACUGUGUUGCCCAGGCUAGAGUGCAGUGGCGCCAUCUUGGCUUACUGCAACCUCCACCUCCUGAGUUCAAGCGAUCCUCCUGCCUCAGCCUCCCGAGUAGCUGGGAUUACAGGCGUGCACCACCACACCCGGCUAAUUUUUGUAUUUUUAAUAGAGACGGGGUUUCACCAUGUUGGCUAGGCUGGUCUCAAACUCCUGACUUCAAGUGAUCCGCCCACCUCGGCCUCCCAAAGUGCUGGGAUUACAGGUGUGGACCACCACGCCCAGCUGAAAUCUGCAUUCUUAACCAGCCCCCUGGGCAAGCCUGGCAGAGGGAUAUGGCCCUUUGGCUUCCUGACAUGGGCUAAGGUUCCAACGCCAUCUUUCUGGCGAAGAUGCCAGCACAGGGCUGUGUGGGGAGGCGUCAGCCAGUAAAAGCCGUGGCUGAAGAAAAGCAAGACAGCCACGGGCCUCGGUGGAUCCCGCUGCAGCCUCAGGCACAGAGAGGGCAGGGCUGGUGAGGUGGGGGGCUUGUCAUGAGUGGGGCUUGGGGAGACUGACUGGAUGUGGUGUGUGGCUGGGGAGGGCCUGGGCCUGAACCUGUGGGCCAUGGGAGCCAUAGAAGGUUGUGGAACAGGAGAAGUAAGACAAGGCCCUGGUUCCCUGUGUGUGUGUGGUGAGGGACUGAGGAGACAUGGCUCAGGCAUCUAGAGAAUUCCUGUCCUGGUGGGAAGUAGUGCCAGGAGGGGCUGGGGUUUGGGGAGGCUGUGGCAGGUGAGGGUGAGGGACAUGGAGCAGGUAGGGGUGAGGGUCAUGGAGCAGGUGGGGGUGAGGGGCAUGGAGCAGGUGGGGGAGGGAAGAGGCUCCCUCAGUUGUGCAUCCUCAGCCCACAAGUGUCCUUUGAGCAGCCUGCACCUGGCACACGUUUUCAAGGAGAGGGGACUUGUUGGGUCCAGCUCCCUGGGUACAAAGGAGAAACUGAGGCUUGGAGAGGGUGGGGGGUUUGAAUCAGUAACUAUAAGAUCCUGGGCAAGGCUUGUGGCUGACUGUGCCAGGCACGCGCCCACCUUUGCCCUGGUCCCCUUGGGAGGGGAGCAGGAAGUGUGAUGCAGAGCUGCCUGCGGUAGGGCGGGACCUCCAGUGCCCUGGGUGCCCCCUCCGGGGCCUGCUGGGGCCAGGCUCUGCACAGGGGUUUGAGAGCAGAGGCCUCUUCACUGAGGGCCGAUUCCCCCAGAGGAAUAAGGGCCUCUGCAGUAGAGUGAAGGUGGACCCUUACCCCGGAGCACGCACAAAAACCAGCUCAAAAGUCAGCCUCGGGCCAGGCGCGGUGGCUCACGCUGGUAAUCCCAGGACUUUGGGAGGCUGAGUAGGGCAGAUCGCUUGAGCUCAGGAGUUUGAGACCAGCCUGCCCAACAUGGUGAAACCCUGUCUCUACUAAAAAUGCAAAAAUUAGUUGGGUGUGGUGGUGCACGCCUGUAAUUCCAGCUACUUCGAAGGCUGAGGCAGGAGAAUCUCCUGAACACGGGAGGCAGAGGUUGCAGUGAGCCGAGAUGGCGUCACUGCACUCCAGCUUGGGCAACAGAACGAGACUUCAUUUAAAAAUAAAAAGAAAAAAAAAUUCACA